AGUCCUAUUCUGCAAGCGCAGCGCUGCAAAAAGCCUGCGGCGCUCUGAGGCGCCUGGUCCUGGGGACCUCUUUCCACUCUUUACUCUCAAGAUAGGAGGAUGGGUCUGGGGGAUUGUUUUUGGUUUUCUGGUUUUGUUUUACUCUGGUUUGGUCGGUUUUGUAUUUUUCUAUUUUUCCUUUUUUUCCCUUUUUUCUUUUUUGAUUUUUCUUUCCCGUUAUUCUCCCAGCCAAAAGCUACCUUCGACCCUUUUGAUUUGAUGUAGCAAAGAGUGUGUGUCCAGAUUAUCUGAAAUUGACACUGAAGAAGUUCUCAGACUCACUAGAAUCAGAAACACCUCUAUCCAAAAA
ensembl:lncRNA novel transcript